UACAGAGACUGCAAGCGUUAUUCGGAUUCACGUGGCGUAAAGGGUGCGCAGGCGGCCGUGUGUGUGAGGCGUGAAAGCCCGGGGCUUAACCCCGGAAUUGCACCUACCAAACUACAUGGCUAGAGCAUUGGAGAGGGUAGCAGAAUUCAUGGUGUAGCAGUGAAAUGCGUAGAUAUCAUGAGGAAUACCAGAAGCGAAGGCGGCUACCUGGACAAUUGCUGACGCUCAGGCACGAAAAGCGUGGGGAGCAAAAGGG
rnacentral:rRNA from 1 species